GAAUUUAGAAAACCAUCAAAAUAGUAUGAUUCUCCGUAUGUGAUUGGAAGAGUCAACUUGAACACUUUAAACUGAUCUGAACAAACUGCACGAGGCAUUGCAAAUGUUUACUCGGUGUUGUAUUGAUUCUUGACUGGCUGUUAAUUUUAUACAAGCUAAAGACGACCUUAUUUUGAAUAUAAUUUUGAAAGAGUCAGACCGCUAUUAACUGGUUAUGCACAAGGCAUUUUAGAUUUGCAAGCGGGGAUGAAUCUUGACAGGCUGUUAAUUUUAUAGAAGCUAAUGUUGACCUUAUUUUAAAUAUAAGUAAGUUGUUUUUUAUUAUUAUUGGUUUUAAAUAGUGUUAGAUAUUCAAUCGUAUUUUUUAUGAAUCUAAUAAUUUAGUAGAGUGUUAUUGUCUGGAGGUGUUUGAUAUUCAGUCAGUAGAACAUGCAAAAUAUUGAAAUGAUUUGCUGCUGUGACUGUGUUUAUGAUUAUCCACGGCAAG